CCUACGGGUGGCAGCAGUGAGGAAUAUUGGUCAAUGGACGAGAGUCUGAACCAGCCAAGUAGCGUGAAGGAUGACUGCCCUAUGGGUUGUAAACUUCUUUUAUAUGGGAAUAAAACGUUCCACGUGUGGGAUUUUGUAUGUACCAUAUGAAUAAGGAUCGGCUAACUCCGUGCCAGCAGCCGCGGUAAUACGGAGGAUCCGAGCGUUAUCCGGAUUUAUUGGGUUUAAAGGGAGCGUAGGUGGAUUGUUAAGUCAGUUGUGAAAGUUUGCGGCUCAACCGUAACAUUGCAGUUGAAACUGGCAGUCUUGAGUACACUAGAGGUGGGCGGAAUUCGUGGUGUAGCGGUGAAAUGCUUAGAUAUCACGAAGAACUCCGAUUGCGAAGGCAGUUCACUGUACUGCAACUGACACUGAGGCUCGAAAGUGUGGGUAUCAAACAGGAUUAGAUACCCCAGUAGUC
rnacentral:rRNA from 1 species